rnacentral:rRNA from 1 species
UUGAACGCUGGCGGCAUGCUUUACACAUGCAAGUCGAACGGCAGCACGGGCUUCGGCCUGGUGGCGAGUGGCGAACGGGUGAGUAAUAUAUCGGAACGUACCCAGAAGUGGGGGAUAACGUAGCGAAAGUUACGCUAAUACCGCAUACGAUCUAUGGAUGAAAGCAGGGGACCGCAAGGCCUUGUGCUCCUGGAGCGGCCGAUAUCUGAUUAGCUAGUUGGUGAGGUAAAGGCUCACCAAGGCGACGAUCAGUAGCUGGUCUGAGAGGACGACCAGCCACACUGGAACUGAGACACGGUCCAGACUCCUACGGGAGGCAGCAGUGGGGAAUUUUGGACAAUGGGCGCAAGCCUGAUCCAGCAAUGCCGCGUGAGUGAAGAAGGCCUUCGGGUUGUAAAGCUCUUUUGUCAGGGAAGAAACGGUAGAGGCUAAUAUCCUGUGCUAAUGACGGUACCUGAAGAAUAAGCACCGGCUAACUACGUG